GACGAACGCUGGCGGCGUGCUUAACACAUGCAAGUCGAACGGAAAGGCCCUGCUUUUGUGGGGUGCUCGAGUGGCGAACGGGUGAGUAAUACGUGAGUAACCUGCCCUUGACUCUGGGAUAAGCCUGGGAAACUGGGUCUAAUACUGGAUACGACAUGCCACUGCAUGGUGGUGUGUGGAAAGGGUUUUACUGGUUUUGGAUGGGCUCACGGCCUAUCAGCUUGUUGGUGGGGUAAUGGCCUACCAAGGCGACGACGGGUAGCCGGCCUGAGAGGGUGACCGGCCACACUGGGACUGAGACACGGCCCAGACUCCUACGGGAGGCAGCAGUGGGGAAUAUUGCACAAUGGGCGGAAGCCUGAUGCAGCGACGCCGCGUGAGGGAUGACGGCCUUCGGGUUGUAAACCUCUUUCAGCACGGAAGAAGCGAGAGUGACGGUACGUGCAGAAGAAGCGCCGGCUAACUACGUG
rnacentral:rRNA from 1 species